GAUGAACGCUGGCGGCGUGCCUAAUACAUGCAAGUCGAGCGAACAGAUGAGGAGCUUGCUCCUCUGACGUUAGCGGCGGACGGGUGAGUAACACGUGGAUAACCUACCUAUAAGACUGGGAUAACUUCGGGAAACCGGAGCUAAUACCGGAUAAUAUAUUGAACCGCAUGGUUCAAUAGUGAAAGACGGUUUUGCUGUCACUUAUAGAUGGAUCCGCGCCGCAUUAGCUAGUUGGUAAGGUAACGGCUUACCAAGGCAACGAUGCGUAGCCGACCUGAGAGGGUGAUCGGCCACACUGGAACUGAGACACGGUCCAGACUCCUACGGGAGGCAGCAGUAGGGAAUCUUCCGCAAUGGGCGAAAGCCGGACGGAGCAACGCCGCGUGAGUGAUGAAGGUCUUCGGAUCGUAAAACUCUGUUAUUAGGGAAGAACAAAUGUGUAAGUAACUAUGCACGUCUUGACGGUACCUAAUCAGAAAGCCACGGCUAACUACGUG
rnacentral:rRNA from 1 species